UACAGAGGUGGCAAGCGUUGUUCGGAAUUACUGGGCGUAAAGGGCGCGUAGGCGGUCCCAUAAGUCCCGCGUGAAAUCCCCGGGCUCAACCUGGGAACUGCAUUUGUGACUGCAUCGCUGGAGUGCGGCAGAGGGGGAUGGAAUUCCGCGUGUAGCAGUGAAAUGCGUAGAUAUGCGGAGGAACACCGAUGGCGAAGGCAAUCCCCUGGGCCUGCACUGACGCUCAUGCACGAAAGCGUGGGGAGCAAACAGG
rnacentral:rRNA from 1 species